AAAUUCAGUCCUGGUGGAAUACGAGCAUAACCAGUCGCACGCACAGAACAGAAGGGGGAAAGAAACCCCAAAUCGCUGCUGACCUGCUGUUGUUGUUCGAGUCCGAGGGCAGGGGUCUUGAACUUGCUCGAUUUCUUCACGAAUCACGGCUCAUCCUCAGGUUGAAAUUGGGGGUGAAUUUUAGCCCUAAACUUGUUGAAAUUGUCAAUCUUCGACGAAUUCUUCUUGAAUCUUCAUAAGAUUAGAUUAUUCUAUGGGAUUGACCGGCUGCUGCUGUGCCUGCUCUUGUUCGACUGCAAGCUGCUGCGCUACUUAUUGUGGUCUUGUUUGACUUCUUCAAUCUUCAUAAGGUUAAAGGUCCGGUGCCUUCCGCCCCCCCAAACUUUUUUUCCAAGCUUCGCCACUGCUUCACGGGUAAGUUUUCUCUACUUUAUUUUCUAAUGUUAGCGCUGACUGCUGGGUAGACAUGUACAAAAAACCGGUUUUAGAUUUGAAACCGAAAAAAAACCGGAACCGGUUUUUAAGAUUAUAAAAAUGUUUUUUUAACCAGUUCGGGCUCAACAUAAAAACCGAACCGAUUGUAAAAAGCUGAUCUAAACCGGUUUUAAACCCGGUUCGUACCAGUUCGGGGUUCUCAUCAUAAAAACCCGGUUUAAAAACCGGUCCCCCCACAUGGCCUAAUUGUCGGAUUUAAACUAUCUAUUUUAUAAUAAGAGUUUUGUUGUUAAUAAUCACAUAUUAGUGUGAUUAAAAAAGGAUAUACUAUUUGGAUAUUUCUCUAAUUUUUUUUAAUGAAAAGAUGUAAGAAGUUGUAAGCAUAUAUAUACAUACACUUGGAGACCCGUUUCACUGUUAACGAAAUUGUUGAAGUUUACCCUGUACAUUUUAACCAUAACUUAAGUAAAUGGGUCAAAAUUGCAAUUUAUUCAUCAUUAUAAAACAUUUGCUAAAUAGUUGUUGAUUGCUUGCGGUUACAAAGUGUUGGUAAACCCCAGUGUGAGUGACGUUCUCUGCAUAGCCACAGCCGACCAUCUGUCAAACGACUUCUUCAGAUCAUUUCCCAAUUGCUUGAGAUACAAGACACCUGAAGAAUUUGUGAACAAAAUAAAUGAAGCCAUGUCACGUGACCCGCUUGGUUUAAAAAAGCGCGGCGCAAACCAAAACGCCUUGUGUGACAUAAGGCGCAGGUGAGGCGCGCGCCUUUUGUACAUGGGAUGCUAAAAGCCUAUGGGAUAUAUAAAAUAAUUUAUAUAAUCACUUUGCGCCUUGCGUACGAAAAGCUCACCGCUUUUGCGCUUUGUACCUCGGUUUCAGACCUCGUCGCUUUUCUAAACCAAGGUGACCCACAACCUCUUACACCUGAAGAAAGAUAUAAUCUUUCAUGGGAAGCAGCUACCCAAAGGUUCAUGCAGUAUUCUGAACUUGACAACCGCCUCUACUUCAGAAUCAGAUGAAGUCAACAGGAUCGUUCGAAGGUCAAAAUCAAUCCCGAAUUUGAGUGGUCGAUUCAGCCUUGGGGCUGGGGUGAUUGAGGAAGCUAGGGUGCAACGUGACAAAGGUUUCGGUUUCUAUUAUAUGAAAUAGUAUAGACAAUAAUGUUAUUUAUUUGUUCAUUUCUCUAGGCACAAAAAAACAUGACACCAACAAAAGCAACCGGCGAAACAUCAAGCACAUUAGACCCUCACCUAGCGGAUGAUGACAACUGAAUGGUUGAGGAAGAGGGGUUGUAUGACGAUAUUUGGUAAUGUUAUAAUGACAGAGAUUUGUUUUGUAAGUAAUGGACUUCAUGCUUCCAACAUCCAAAAUUUUAAGCAACGUGUUGACAAGUGACAACCGAAUGUUCUAGGUAACCAGGCGAUGGCAUUGACAGGUUGGGUAGCGGUGAAGUUGAGAGCAACGAUGGUGUUUAUAGUUUCAAUAAAUGUUUGUAGGUGCAAUGGUGGUUGGCGGCGAUUAUGAGUAUUGUUGGAUAGGGGUAACGACACGAGCCUAGAUCUUGUGACUCACUCCUUUAAAACCAUUCAAAAUAUUAUUUAAGACUUGUAAAGACUCAGUCAUAUCCAUUGAUUGGUAGAGGAUCCUGUACAUUAAUCCAGAAGUGUAUUAUAACACUAUAUAACACCAUAUAAACAUCGUAUAACAAUAUGUAACACCAUAUAACACUAUGUAACAUUAUAUAACACUAUAGUUUGUCUGUAACACCAUAUAACACUAUGUAACAUUAUAUAACACUAUAGUUUGUCUGAUAGCAUGUCUAUGAUAGAUGUAUAGUGUUAUAUAUUGUUAUAUAGUGUCAUGUAGUGUUACAUAGUCUUAUAUGGUGUUACAUAGUGUUAUACGGUGUUUAUAUGGUGUUAUAUCUCUAUAUCUAAUAAAAGAACAAGGUUCUGCCACUUGGCACCCCCACAUUCAACCAAUACACAUGUCAAAAUUCUAGCCAGUCCACAUCAUCCUAUCCUAGGUGUAAUUUUGUGAGAUUUUUCAAUUUUUGUGUAUUAUUAAUUCUUUCAAAUAUGCUGAAAUGUUUGGGCGGCCAGAUUCUGUGGAUUCAAUUUUUGAAUUUGAAUUCCAUUUACUCAUCCCAAGAAACUCAUUACCCUGUCAUCUCACUAUCAACUUUUUGUGUAUUACUGUUUCAUAUUCUCCUACAGAAACCCUUAAUGGUUCACAACAACAAACAAAAACUCACGAUUUCAAAAUACAAACCAACCGUUCUCUGCUUAGUUCUCUCUAAAAAGUUUUGGACAAUUCCUCUCAUUCGAUUUCUCAAUUUCAUGACCCUAUCUAGCGAUGGUGUGGUGUUUAUUGUUAAAAUCCGCCGACUAAGUGUUUCAGUGGCGGGAUUCUCGAGCAGAUUGGUAGGCAACUAAGACGAGAUUUCGAGGGUAGAUGGUGAUUUAGGCAGGUUCCGACAAUGCGGUUCUAAUUUAUUAGUUGCAUGUAUGUUUUCUGACAAGCGAGGGACUUUAAUGAUGGCGGUGGUGGAUGGUGGUUGUAUACUUUUAAGAGGGUUUUCUGUUGAAGUGGAGGGGGACAUCUCUGAACUCGAAGGUUAAAGGUUGCUUCCCACCUUACGAAGCAAGAAAAAUUGUAUUUCUAGGGCUAGCUGUUUAAGGUUCAUAUAACCUUAUGAAUCUUGAAUGACUCAAUUUGGUUAAAGUCUAUCGGGAACAAGUUAGGAAUGGCGCCUUCGACUGAAGAACGGGCCGCUGAAGCCAAGUUUAACGAGGAUGGAAAUACAGGUUUGAAGAAUCAGGCUAAGUAAGAUGAUGAAGCAGUUGCAGUUGUUGAAGGGGGAUUGUGCGGUAUGCAAGUCUACAUGCUCAUCAUGGUAGGACAGGAAGCUGGAGGGAUGAUUUGGAUCCUUGCGUAUGUGGGGUAUGCAAGUGUACAUGCUCAACUUUACUUACCUCCAAAAUAUGGAUUGUCUCGAGAGAUAUUGCAAUGGGCCCUGUGGCAGUGGUCUCUCUGUUGCUUGGAACUUUGUUACGAGAUGAGGUUGAGCCAAAUACACCUGAAUAUUUAUGUCUUGCUUUCACUGCAACAUUCUUUGCUGGAGUCACUCAAGCUGCACUCGGGUUUUUCAGAUUGGGUUUUCUGAUCGAUUUUCUGUCACAUGCUGCGAUUGUGGGGUUCAUGGGAGGAGUGGUCGUUACCAUUGCGCUUCAGCAACUUAAAGGGUUGUUAGGGAACAAGGAUUUAAAAAAAAGACUGAUUUAGUUCAUGACCAACUUACUAAACUAAAACUUGUGUUCAUAAAAUAGAAAAUGGAAAAUAGAACUGACAAGACUAAAACUUGUGUUCAUAAAAUAGAAAAUGGAAAAUAGAACUGACAAGUGUGAAAACAUUAUUAUUUUAAAUUAUUUGGUUUUAUGUUA